rnacentral:rRNA from 1 species
CCCAAACUUCUGAAAUGUUGACCUCGGAUCAGGUAGGAAUACCCGCUGAACUUAAGCAUAUCAAAAGGCCGAAAGGGAAACGA